GAUGAAGAACGUAGCGAAAUGCGAUACGUAGUGUGAAUUGCAGAAUUCAGUGAAUCAUCGAAUCUUUGAACGCACAUUGCACCUCUCGGUAUUCCGGGAGGUAUGCCUGUUCGAGCGUCAUUUGUACCCUCAAGCUCUGCUUGGUGUUGGGUGUUUGUUCCGCCUCUGUGUGUGAACUCGCCUCAAAACAAUUGGCAGCCGGCGUACUUGUUUCGGAGCGCAGCACAUUUUGCGAUCCAGAUCAACGUACAGCGGCAUCCAAGAAGCCUUAUUUAACGCUCUUGACCUCGGAUCAGGUAGGGAUACCCGCUGAACUUAAGCAUAUCAAUAAGCGAGA
rnacentral:misc_RNA from 1 species